CUCUUAUCUCUUUUCCUUCUCUUUCCCUCUCUAGACAAAGAAAGGCUUGAAGCUUGUGUUGACAGCCUUGGAGGAUUUGUGGGCUGAUGAAGAAACCUGAGCCAAGUAUAUUAUUCCUGCUGAUCGGAGUUACUACAAGACCUGGAACAACAACUAAUCAAGGACUUGAGAACUGAAGUCUUGUUGUUGUUGCUACCGAAAGGAAGGAAGGGACCAGUUGAUGCAGUAAGCAAGCAAUUUAGCAUCUGAUCAAGCUAGUAGUAGCAGAAUUGAAGUUGUGGGUUGUUGGAGCAGCAAGCUUGUGCUGUUGGUGUUGUUGGUGUUGCCGAAAUUCAGGAUUGAGCCACACGAUGCAGUGAACUAGUAAAUUCAGCAGCAAACUAAGGUAAGCUCAUUCCAUAUUGGUUUAUAGUCC